rnacentral:rRNA from 1 species
GACGAACGCUGGCGGCGUGCUUAACACAUGCAAGUCGAGCGGUAAGGCCCUUUCGGGGGUACACGAGCGGCGAACGGGUGAGUAACACGUGGGUGACCUGCCCUCAGCUCUGGGAUAAGCCUGGGAAACUGGGUCUAAUACCGGAUAUGACUCCAUGACGCAUGUUGUGGGGUGGAAAGCCUUGUGCGGCUGAGGAUGGGCCCGCGGCCUAUCAGCUUGUUGGUGGGGNGAUGGCCUACCAAGGCGACGACGGGUAGCCGGCCUGAGAGGGCGACCGGCCACACUGGGACUGAGACACGGCCCAGACUCCUACGGGAGGCAGCAGUGGGGAAUCUUGCGCAAUGGGCGAAAGCCUGACGCAGCGACGCCGCGUGA